rnacentral:rRNA from 1 species
UUGGAACGAUGGCUAAUACCGCAUAUGUCGAGAGAUGAAAGAUUUAUCGCCUGAGGAUGAGCUCGCGUCUGAUUAGCUAGUUGGUGGGGUAAAGGCUUACCAAGGCGACGAUCAGUAGCUGUUCUGAGAGGAAGAUCAGCCACACUGGGACUGAGACACGGCCCAGACUCCUACGGGAGGCAGCAGUGGGGAAUUUUCCGCAAUGGGCGCAAGCCUGACGGAGCAACGCCGCGUGAGGGAGGAAUGUCUGUGGAUUGUAAACCUCUUUUCUCUGGGAAGAAGAUCUGACGGUACCAGAGGAAUCAGCAUCGGCUACUCCGUGCCAGCAGCCGCGGUAAGACGGAGGAUGCAAGCGUUAUCCGGAAUUAUUGGGCGUAAAGCGUCCGUAGGCGGCUAAUUAAGUCAGUUGCUAAAGACUGCAGCUCAACUGUGGGAGAGCAACUGAAACUGGUUGGCUAGAGUAUGGUAGGGGUAGAGGGAAUUCCUAGUGUAGCGGUGAAAUGCGUAGAUAUUAGGAAGAACACCAGUGGCGAAGGCGCUCUGCUGGGCCAUAACUGACGCUGAUGGACGAAAGCUAGGGGAGCGAAAGGGAUUAGAUACCCCUGUAGUCCUAGCUGUAAACGGUGGAUACUAGGUGUUGUGCGUAUCGACCCGUGCAGUACCGUAGCAAACGCGUUAAGUAUCCCGCCUGGGGAGUACGCACGCAAGUGUGAAACUCAAAGGAAUUGACGGGGGCCCGCACAAGCGGUGGAGUAUGUGGUUUAAUUCGAUGCAACGCGAAGAACCUUACCAGGACUUGACAUCCCUCGAACUUUCUAGAAAUAGAUUGGUGCCUUCGGGAGCGAGGAGACAGGUGGUGCAUGGCUGUCGUCAGCUCGUGUCGUGAGAUGUUGGGUUAAGUCCCGCAACGAGCGCAACCCACGUCCUUAGUUGCCAUCAUUAAGUUGGGCACUCUGGGGAGACUGCCGGGGACAACUCGGAGGAAGGUGUGGACGACGUCAAGUCAUCAUGCCCCUUACGUUCUGGGCUACACACGUACUACAAUGCAACGGACAAAGGGCAGCCAACUAGCGAUAGUGAGCUAAUCCCAUAAACCGUUGCUCAGUUCAGAUUGCAGGCUGCAACUCGCCUGCAUGAAGGAGGAAUCGCUAGUAAUCGCAGGUCAGCAUACUGCGGUGAAUACGUUCCCGGGCCUGUACAC